GUCGGCGUCUAGCCGCCGGAAGUUUGAGGCAAUAACAGGUCUGUGAUGCCCUUAGAUGUUUGGGGCCGCACGCGCGCUACACUGACAGAGCCAGCGAGUUUUUUCCCUUGGCCGGAAGGUCUGGGUAAUCUUGUGAAACUCUGUCGUGCUGGGGAUAGAGCAUUGCAAUUAUUGCUCUUCAACGAGGAAUACCUAGUAAGCGUGAGUCAUCAGCUCGCGUUGAUUACGUCCCUGCC
rnacentral:rRNA from 1 species